UCGGGUUGUAAAGCACUUUUGUCCGGAAAGAAAACUUCGGCCCUAAUACGGUGGGAGGAUGACGGUACCGGAAGAAUAAGCACCGGCUAACUACGUGCCAGCAGCGCGGUAAUCGUAGGGUGCGAGCGUUAAUCGGAAUUACUGGGCGUAAAGCGUGCGCAGGCGGUUCGUUAAGACAGAUGUGAAAUCCCCGGGCUUAACCUGGGAACUGCAUUUGUGACUGGCGAGCUAGAGUAUGGCAGAGGGGGGUAGAAUUCCACGUGUAGCAGUGAAAUGCGUAGAGAUGUGGAGGAAUACCGAUGGCGAAGGCAGCCCCCUGGGCCAAUACUGACGCUCAUGCACGAAAGCGUGGGGAGCAAACAGGAUUAGAUACCCUGGUAGUCCACGCCCUAAACGAUGUCAACUAGUUGUUGGGUCUUCAUUGACUUAGUAACGUAGCUAACGCGUGAAGUUGACCGCCUGGGGAGUACGGUCGCAAGAUUAAAACUCAAAGGAAUUGACGGGGACCCGCACAAGCGGUGGAUGAAGGUGGAUUAAUUCGAUGCAACGCGAAAAACCUUACCUACCCUUGACAUGGUCGGAACCCUGCUG
rnacentral:rRNA from 1 species